rnacentral:rRNA from 1 species
AGUAACUGCGAGUGAAGCGGCAAAAGCUCAAAUUUGAAAUCUGGCACAAGCCCGAGUUGUAAUUUGCAGAGGAUGCUUCGACGUCGGACGCCGGCUUAAGUUUUCUGGAACGAAGCGUCAUAGAGGGUGAGAACCCCGUGAAUGGUUGGCCGUUUUGACGUCAUAUGUAGCUCCUUCAACGAGUCGAGUUGUUUGGGAAUGCAGCUCUAAGUGGGAGGUAAAUUUCUUCUAAGGCUAAAUAUAGGCCAGAGACCGAUAGCGAACAAGUAGAGUGAUCGAAAGAUGAAAAGCACUUUGAAAAGAGGGUUAAAAAGUACGUGAAAUUGUUGAAAGGGAAGCGCUUGCGGUCAGACUUGCUCGUGAUUGCUCAAUUCAUCGUCGUGGUGAGUGUAAUCAAUCUUGAGCAGGCCAACAUCAGUUUGGGCGGUGAGAUAAUGGCUCGGAAAAUGUAGCUUUCUCUCGGGAAAGUGUUAUAGUUCCGGGUGUCAUGUCACCAGUCUAGACUGAGGAUAGCGUCUUUGACUAGGAUGUUGGCGUAAUGGCCGUAAGCGACCCGUC